GAUGAACGCUGGCGGCGUGCCUAAUACAUGCAAGUAGAACGCUGAAGGAGGAGCUUGCUCUUCUGGAUGAGUUGCGAACGGGUGAGUAACGCGUAGGUAACCUGCCCGGUAGCGGGGGAUAACUAUUGGAAACGAGAGCUAAUACCGCAUGACAACAGUUAUUGCAUGAUAACUGUUUAAAAGGGGCAACUGCUCCACUACCAGUUGGAGCUGCGGUGCAUUAGCUAGUUGGUGAGGUAACGGCUCACCAAGGCGACGAUACAUAGCCGACCGGAGAGGGUGGUCGGCCACACUGGGACUGAGACACGGCCCAGACUGCUUCGGGAGGGAGCAGGAGGGAAUCGUCGGCAAUGGGCGGAAGUCUGACCGAGCAACGCCGCGGGAGUGAAGAAGGUUGUCGGAUCGGAAAGCUCUGUUGUAAGGGAAGAACGAGUGUGAGAGUGGAAAGUUCACACUGUGACGGUAUCUUAUCAGAAAGGGACGGCUAACUACGUG
rnacentral:rRNA from 1 species